CGUGACGGCGCGAGCAGGUGCGAAAGCAGGUCAUAGUGAUCCGGUGGUUCUGAAUGGAAGGGCCAUCGCUCAACGGAUAAAAGGUACUCCGGGGAUAACAGGCUGAUACCGCCCAAGAGUUCAUAUCGACGGCGGUGUUUGGCACCUCGAUGUCGGCUCAUCACAUCCUGGGGCUGAAGUAGGUCCCAAGGGUAUGGCUGUUCGCCAUUUAAAGUGGUACGCGAGCUGGGUUUAGAACGUCGUGAGACAGUUCGGUCCCUAUCUGCCGUGGGCGCUGGAGAACUGAGGGGGGCUGCUCCUAGUACGAGAGGACCGGAGUGGACGCAUCACUGGUGUUCGGGUUGUCAUGCCAAUGGCACUGCCCGGUAGCUAAAUGCGGAAGAGAUAAGUGCUGAAAGCAUCUAAGCACGAAACUUGCCCCGAGAUGAGUUCUCCCUGAGACUUUAAGUCUCCUGAAGGAACGUUGAAGACGACGACGUUGAUAGGCCGGGUGUGUAAGCGCAGCGAUGCGUUGAGCUAACCGGUACUAAUGAACCGUGAGGCUUAACCUUACAACGCCGAAG
rnacentral:rRNA from 1 species